rnacentral:tRNA from 1 species
AUAGAAAGACAGGAAUUGAACCUGAACUUAAAAACUCAAAUCUUCUCGUACUUCCAUUAUACUACUCCCUA